AUACAGGGCAAUUGUCUUGUAAUUGGAAUGAUGGUGACGUAAAAUCUCACCAGAGUAACAAUUGGAGGGCAAGUCUGGUGCCAGCAGCCGCGGUAAUUCCAGCUCCAAUAGCGUAUAUUAAACUUGUUGCAGUUAAAAAGCUCGUAGUUGAAUUUCUGCGUUGCCCGACUCGGCUACUUGCCUUGUCUGGUUUCGCUUUUGGGGUUUUCCCCUUUUUACUUUGAGAAAAUUAGAGUGUUUCAAGCAGACUUGUGUCUUGAAUACUUCAGCAUGGAAUAAUAAAGUAGGACUUUGGUUCUAUUUUGUU
rnacentral:rRNA from 1 species